rnacentral:tRNA from 1 species
GCCUGGGUGGCUCAGUCCGUUGAGCGUCCGACUUCAGCUCAGGUCAUGAUCUCGUGGUUCAUGGGUUCGAGCCCCAUGUUGGGCU